GUUUGUAGAUUCUUUGCUCAAAAGGUUUGAACUUUUUGUUGUCUUUUAUGUAUUUGUCCAUGCACUUAGGUGACUUUCUCUUUCUGUAUCACAAUUUUAGGUAGUUCCAGACAGUGUUUAACUGAUUAGAGAUAAAUGUGGUCAUUGUGGAGAUAGGGAUUUAUUACAUUUUCACCCUUGUGAACAGAUAUAAAUAGAGCUUUUCACUUCUGGUUUAUUCAUCGCAGGCAUUCUCCAAAUUAUUUGUGAGCUGCAGCUUAGAAAAACAUGAACUUUAAUAGCUCUGCUUUAGGCUCUGGUAACAGAAGCAAUAGGAGCACCCAUGAAUUUGGGAGGACUUAUGUUGUCAGGCCUAAAGGUAGACAUCAAGCAACGAUAGUUUGGCUUCAUGGUCUUGGUGACUCCGGAUCAAGCUGGUCCCAGCUCUUGGAAAGUUUCCCUCUACCAAAUAUUAAGUGGAUUUGUCCAACUGCUCCUACCCGUCCAGUUGCAUUGUUUGGAGGUUUCCCUUGCACUGCUUGGUGUGACGUGGGAGAGAUCUCAGAAGAUGCUCCUGAUGAUUUGGAGGGCUUAGAUGCAACAGCAGCACAUGUUGCAAAUCUCUUGUCGAACGAGCCAUCUGAUAUUAAACUAGGUGUUGGGGGAUUUAGUAUGGGCGCUGCAUCUGCUCUUUACUCUUCAAUGUGCCAUGUUCUGGGUCAAUAUGGAAAUGGAAACCCGUACACUCUUAACCUCAGUGUGAUUGUUGGUCUCAGUGGCUGGCUUCCCUGUUCAAGGGCUCUGAAAUACCGCCUGGAAAGAUCACAAGUGGCCAGGAGUCUUGCAGCAUCCUUACCCAUCUUGCUCUGUCAUGGCCGAGGUAUUACCAAACAUUAUUCUAGACGUCUAGUUAGUAGUUACCCCUCUGUAUUAUAUCAUGUUAUAAGAUUUAUUAAUGUCCAUUAUUUUACUUUGAAGGCGGAAAAUUAUCUUUAAUGGCCAUCUGACUUCUCUACAAACACAUAUAUCAACUUUUUUAAUAAUAAAUUUGUGCUAACUUUAACUUUUAGUUGGCUAUAGAUUCAUUGUAGAAAUCGUUAGAUAGUGUUUGCACAAGUCCCUUGAAUAUACAUUACCAGACUUGACUUAAUUCACUAGCUUUUUGCCAUCAUACGUUUAUUUCCUUAAACUUUCUUUAUCUACCAUACAAGCAUCAGCUGCUGUCCAUGUUUUCAAGUUUCUCGAAAGCUAUAUAUUAUAGCUUAAAGUAAAUAUAUAGGUUGUUCUUUUUCUCUUAACUCAUGUACUCCUAUUCUGUCUGCACAAGUGCAUGUGUUUGUAUUGCGAAACCAUUUUGGAAAGCUUUGAACGAUAAUCUCACAGAGCCUUCUUGUUUAACAUUCUAGAGAUGAACAGAUUUAGUAUUUAGACACCAAAUUAUAUCACUGAUUUUGGCUUAUAAGAAUCUGACCUAUUAUGCAAGUCAGAAUUCUGCUGGCAUGCUGAGAAUAUAAUAACUUCUAGUUGCUAGUAAUUUGUUGUUAAUUGAAAUACAUUGAGUUUUUCUGGAUUAUGGUGUGAAGAUAUCAAAUUGAAUUUGAAAAUUGACUUUUACGGUCAAAUUUUCUAACAUGUCUUGGAACAGGAGUAUUUAUCUAACUCAUUGCCUUUAGAUUGGAGAAUGUUUCUCUUUGGCGUGGGGGUGAUACUCUAGUUUCAGAAAAUCCGCAGAGACUGGACCAAGCUUUUUGUCUGUAUUGAUGAUGUAAUAGCUUACAUGCACGGGGAAAAUUCUGCACACAACUUGAGUUCAGCUGGAUUUAGAAACCUGAUUUUCAGAACUUAUAGCGGGUUGGGUCACUACACCAUUCCUGAAGAGACUGA